AGAAUGGCUAUUAUUAAAAGGUCAAAAAAUAACAGAUGCUAGUGAGGAUGUGGAGAAAAGGGAACCCUUGUACACUGUUGGUGGCAAUAUGAAUUAGUACAGCCACUCUAGAGAACAGUUUUUGGAGGUUCCU